ACUAAAAUAUUUUGCUUUAUUCCAGGCUCACAUUAAAUUUCCUAUUGACUAUCCAUAUUCACCACCUGCCUUCAGAUUUCUGACCAAAAUGUGGCACCCCAACAUUUAUGAGAAUGGAGAUGUAUGUAUUUCAAUUCUUCACCCACCUGUAGAUGACCCACAAAGUGGAGAGCUGCCAUCCGAGAGGUGGAACCCUACCCAAAAUGUCAGUACUUAUCUCCUGUCCUGAAGGGAGUUAUCUUGAGCAGUUAAAAAUGUAGUUUUCUUCCUGGCAAAUAAAUGAAGGAUCACAAAGUACCAGAGACGUUCAAGGCUAACCUGAUAAUUUUCUUGAAACAUGAGAUGAAUUUCAUUCUCAUUACAAGACACUGCCAAUAAAGAACUGAUAAAAUUCAUGUCAAGUAGCAGCUCACUGACCUGUGCAGCUGGAGUAGUAACUGAUAUAGUAGAAAAACCUUGAAGUAAGGUAUGUCCUGUUCUAAAUUUUUAAUCUGAUUUAUUAUCUAAAUAAAGUUAAAAUAAUUGCCUCUAGAUUUUUAGCAUAUCAAGAAGGGGAAAAUGGAAGACCCAGGGAACUACAGACCAGUCAGUCUCACCUCUGUGCCUGGCAGAAUCAUGGAGCAGAUUCUCCUGGAAAGCAUGCUAGGGCACAUAAAAAAUGAGGUGGUUGGUGACAGCCAACAUGGCUUCAUUAAGGGCAAAUCCUGCCUGACCGAUAUGGUGGCCUUCUAUGAUGGGGCUACAGAACUGAUGGAUGGAGCAAAGCAGUUGAUGUCAUCUACCUGGACUUGUGAAAAGUGUUUGACACUGUCCCGCACGACAUCCUUGUCUCUAAAUUGGAGAGACAUCAAUUUGGUGGAUGGACGACUCAGUGGAUAAGGAAUUGGCUGGAUGGCCGCAUGCAGAGAGUUGCAGUUAACAGCUCAAUGUCCAAGUGGAGACAGGUAACAAGUGGUGUCACUUGGGUUGGUGUUGGGACUGAUCCUGUUUAACGUCUUUGUCAGAGACACAGACAAUAGGAUUGAGUCCGCCCUCAGCAAGUUUGCCAAUGGUACUAACCUGUGUGGUUCAGUUGAUACGCUGGAGGGAAGGGAUGCUAUCCAGAGGGAUCUUGACAUGCUUGUGAGGUGGGCCAAUUCCAACCUCAUGAAGUUCAACUAUGCAAAGUGCAAGGUCCUACACCUGGGUGGGGGCAAUUCCAGGCACAGCU